rnacentral:rRNA from 1 species
UACGUAGGGGGCAAGCGUUGUCCGGAUUUAUUGGGCGUAAAGAGCGUGUAGGCGGCCAUGUAGGUCCGUUGUGAAAACUCGAGGCUCAACCUCGAGGCGCCGAUGGAAACCAUGUGGCUAGAGUCCGGAAGAGGAGAGUGGAAUUCCUGGUGUAGCGGUGAAAUGCGCAGAUAUCAGGAGGAACACCAAUAGCGAAGGCAGCUCGCUGGGACGUUACUGACACUGAGGCGCGAAAGCGUGGGGAGCGAACAGG